rnacentral:rRNA from 1 species
AUGGAAAAAGUGAAGGGUCCGAAAGAAAUUUGGGAUGCUGCGGCUCAUUCCAUUUAUAUGGAUGUGUGCGUAGAGGAGGUGCGAGCCAAUAACCGCGCUCCAGGACACACCACUUUGUCUGAUGUAGGCCAAGUUAAUUUGCUUACUAAGUUUAAUGAGCGCUCCGGGAGAAAUUAUCCGCACCAACAAUUAAGAAACCGGUGGGAUGCAUGUAGAAGUGAUUAUGCCAUAUGGAAGACAUUGCUUCAAAAAGCUUCACGCAUCGGAAGAGAUCCUUAUACAAAGACCAUUGCUGCUACGGAUGAGUGGUGUGCAUUGGAGUUGAAGGCACGUCCGCAGGCUACCAAGUAUCGGCAUGCUCCACUUGCAGAGGAGGACAAAAUGGAGGAGGUGUUUGAUGCUUGUUGUGUCACAAACGAGCAUGCGAGAGUGCCAAUUCCCACAUAUCAAGGUUCUACAUCUCGAAUCAAUUUGGAUGAUGAGUCUGGUUGUGAAGGUGACAAAACUGAAGUUACACCUCGUGCGAAUCGUGCAAAGGGUGGGAAGAAGAGGGCAUUUCCUUAUUCCCCAAGUCCUAAGGCAAAUGAAAAGUGGGCAAGUGAGCAGGCAAAGAAUGAGGCAUUUGUUCGUAUGGUGGACCUCUUUGAUUCAAGGAACAAGAGAGAUGAGACUCAAGUUUCAGCAAGAGAAGAGAUUCAUGAAAUGAUGGCCAUGGUAGAAGCAGAUGGUGGUGCACCUGGGAGUGAUGUUCAUUUCUAUGCUUCACAACUAUUCAAGGAUUAG